rnacentral:misc_RNA from 1 species
CCGAGUUUGGGACCCUUUGGGUACCAUCUCCCACCAUUUGUGAACCUUUUUCGUUGCCUCGGCGGGUCCGAUGUACCCAUCCUCCGGCUUUCGCUGGGGAGUACCCGCCGAUGGAUUUUCAAACCAGAUUUUAACCUACCAUCUGAGUUUUAAACAAAUAAAAACA